UUAUGUCUUGUCUGUGUGUGUUUGCUAGUUUAAGACCGACGCAGUUGUCAAUUUCCCGUCAAGCGCCCGCGACUAGGAUUAGUGUGUUUCUGACAGGGUGGGGGGCGUGGCAUCACAAUGAUAUCAACCAUAGGCAAC